rnacentral:rRNA from 1 species
CCUACGGGGGGCAGCAGUGAGGAAUAUUGGACAAUGGCCGCAAGGCUGAUCCAGCCAUGCCGCGUGCAGGAUGAAGGCCCUAUGGGUUGUAAACUGCUUUUCUACGGGAAUAAACCCCUUUACGUGUAAAGGGCUGAAGGUACCGUAGGAAUAAGCACCGGCUAACUCCGUGCCAGCAGCCGCGGUAAUACGGAGGGUGCAAGCGUUAUCCGGAUUCAUUGGGUUUAAAGGGUGCGCAGGCGGGAUUUUAAGUCAGUGGUGAAAGCCCGAGGCUC